UGCAUUGUGCCCAAUGACUCUUCAAUAGGGUUUCCUAAAAUGAUAGGACCUCCUAGGACUCUGCCUACUUUCUUCUUGCCCCCUGUCAUUCUCCUCCUUGAUCCUGCUUCCCUGCCAGCAGCUGGAGUCUUCGAUGCUUCAGCCGGCUUCUCCUCAACUCACACAGGCACUCUUGAUUUUCAUCUGCUGUCUAUGUACUGUUCCAAGGGAGCUGGCUCAUCACCCUGCUAACACCCCUGCCGAGCUCUGGAACUGGUGGUAACAGGAAUCAUUAGCCAGAGCUGCACACAGGAAGACUCCACAAACCCUUGAGACCAGAAAGCCCUGGUGUCUUCAGAUGCCAGAAGAGGGUAGCAGAAUCCCUGGAACUAGGGUUACAGUCAACUGUGACCUGUAGAUGUGAGAGCUGGGAUCCACACUCAAAGGCUCUCUGGAGGAGCAGCAAGAAUUCUUAUAUGCUGAGUCAUCUCUCCAACCCUAGAAAAGUGACCUUCUAAUAAGGACUUUUCAUAUGGAAUUCUUCAUCAUCUUCCUAAAGGUUCCUAGUGGGAGCACAUGCCUUGAAAAUGUGAUCUUUCUGCUGAUGAUAAAGAUGAGGGACCUCUUGACAAACUACAGCAACAAGAACCAGCAGCAGCAGAGGGAGCAGCUGCAGGGGGAGCAGCAGCAGCAGGGGGAGAAGCAGCCUCCACAGCCUCUUGGGGCUCUGGCAUUUUUUACCCUCCCAAGAGUCCUCAGAAUUCUAAACUAUCUUCAGCUGGCAGAACCACUCCCCUGCCAGAGCAUGAGACAAAUCAUAGUCAGCUGCUGUGGACAAUCUGAAGCAGCCCCAUAUCCCACAUCUGGGAUUAAAGCAAAACUAUAUCCCCAUAACAUACCUAGAUUUUUUUAAGAAACCAAAAUUUUUACCACAUGUUCGUGAUGAGCAGCUCAGUUCACUUUCAGAGUGACACUUGACACACUUAAGCAAACUUGCACUUCCACAUGGCUCCCAUCUGAUAAGCUUGGUUCCAAAAUGGCAAGGCGUUAUGAGCAGAAAGCAACUAUGUAACUAUGUCAGAGUCUCUCCAUAUAGUCUUCAUCUUCCAUUAGCUUAUUUUGACUCAAAGUCAGUAACUGUUGAAUACCUUGACACCAGAAGCUAUACAAAUACAAAUAUACAAAUACAAA